UACGUAGGGGGCUAGCGUUGUCCGGAAUCAUUGGGCGUAAAGCGCGCGUAGGCGGCCCGGUAAGUCCGCUGUAAAAGUCCAGGGCUCAACCCUGGAAAGCCGGUGGAUACUGUCGGGCUCGAGUCCGGAAGAGGCGAGUGGAAUUCCUGGUGUAGCGGUGGAAUGCGCAGAUAUCAGGAGAAACACCGAUGGCGAAGGCAGCUCGCUGGGACGGUACUGACGCUGAGACGCGAAAGCGUGGGGAGCGAACAGG
rnacentral:rRNA from 1 species